rnacentral:rRNA from 1 species
GGAUUAGAUACCCUGGUAGUCCACGCCGUAAACGAUGGGUGCUAGGUGUGGGAGAUAAUCCACUUCUUCCGUGCCGCAGCUAACGCAUUAAGCACCCCGCCUGGGGACUACGGCCGCAAGGCUAAAACUCAAAGGAAUUGACGGGGGCCCGCACAAGCGGCGGAGCAUGUGGCUUAAUUCGAAGCAACGCGAAGAACCUUACCAGGGCUUGAAAUACACCGGACCGUCACAGAGAUGUGGCUUCUUUUAGUCGGUGUACAGGUGGUGCAUGGCUGUCGUCAGCUCGUGUCG